rnacentral:rRNA from 1 species
AUGCAUGUCGGUAUGAUCAUGGAGUCGAAUGAUGCGACUUUCUUUGAAGAUAUCUUUCCCAUGAAGGAUAUGGCUACCUCAUCUAAUCAGGAGAUGCCUAGUUCAUCGAAUCAGGAACCAGUUAUAAUUACCAAACCUGCCAUUUCGAUAGAACACUUUGAAAGUCAAGUGGAGGAGAACAAUGAAGUUCCUACUAGGAGCAAGAGACAAAGGAUUGCAAAGUCCUUUGGUGAUGAUUUUCUUGUGUAUCUCAUAGAUGACACUCCCAGUUCUAUUUCAGAGGCCUAUGCAUCUGAAGAUGCUGACUACUGGAAGGAAGCGGUUCGUCGCGAGAUGGAUUCCAUCUUGGCGAAUGAAACCUGGGAGAUAACUGAUCGUCCUUAUGGGUGCAAACCUAUAGGAUGCAAAUGGGUAUUCAAGAAAAAGCUUAGGCCUGAUUGUACUAUUGAGAAGUACAAGGCUCGGCUCGUGGCUAAGGGUUAUACCCAAAAGGAAGGUGAAGACUUCUUUGAUACUUACUCACCUGUGGCUCGACUGACCACUAUUCGAGUUCUACUUUCACUAGCUGCCUCGCAUGGUCUUCUCGUUCAUCAAAUGGAUGUUAAGACUGCUUUCCUAAAUGGAGAGUUGGACGAGGAAAUUUAUAUGGAACAACCAGAUGGGUUUGGACUAGAUGGUCAGGAAGGGAAAGUGUGCAAGUUGCUGAAGUCUUUGUACGGACUUAAGCAAGCACCCAAACAGUGGCAUGAGAAGUUUCAAAGAACUUUAACAGCUGCAGGCUUUGUUGUGAACGAAGCUGACAAAUGUGUGUACUAUCGCCAUGGUGGGGGCGAGGGAGUUAUCCUGUGCUUGUAUGUUGAUGACAUACUGAUUUUCGGAACCAAUCUGAAUGUUAUUAAGGAGGUCAAGGAUUUCCUAUCUCGUUGUUUUGAGAUGAAGGAUUUAGGAGUGGCUGAUGUCAUUCUGAACAUCAAGUUGUUGAGAGACGAUGAUGGUGGGAUUACAUUGCUUCAAUCUCACUAUGUGGAAAAGAUCUUGAGUCGCUUUGGCUAUAGUGACUGCAAGCCAUCUCCAACACCAUAUGAUGCUAGUGUGUUGCUUCGAAAGAAUCGAAGAAUUGCUAGAGACCAGUUGAAGUAUUCUCAGAUUAUUGGCUCGCUUAUGUACUUAGCCAGUGCUACAAGACCUGACAUCUCUUUUUCUAUUAGCAAACUGAGUCGGUUUGUUUCAAAACCAGGAGAUGUGCAUUGGAAAUCUCUAGAAAGAGUUUUGUGUUAUUUGAAAGGCACUGCAAAUUAUGGAAUUCACUACACCGGGCCUCCAAAGGUGCUUGAAGGGUAUAGUGACUCAAACUUGGAUCUCAGAUGCUGA